rnacentral:lncRNA from 1 species
ACUGCAUGCAUGAAGGACACGCCGAGAGGCACAAAGCCAGGCCACGAAGGACACGCGAAAGAAAGGCACAAAGCCAACAACGACGGCCAAUCCAAAGUUCUAACGCGACUGACGAUGUUACAACUUACAAGCAGAUUUGCCCAGGUCACCAGGUGCGUGUUUCUCUGUGGAAGCUUGUCAUCAUACUCCAUACUCGUGGCCGUGGACACGAGGCAUCGCAUCGGGUUACAGUACACGAGCGUUUAGUUUUGGCUUUCAUGAGCAAAUCCGGCAUGGCUGAUUUAUCUCUCCGAUUUCUGUGAACAUUUGUCCCAGGGCAUGUGGGUUGUGGCUGGAUCAGGUUUAUUACAGAGAGAGACACGGGGAAUCUAGUAGACCUGCGAGAAGCAAAAGGCACGCGAGAGCCUUGGCCUUUCGGUAAAGCCUAGCUUGCCUCAAACUUUUCGAAAGCGUUGUUGGAUGGAGUUGGAGGAAAAAAAGGUUACAGUCAAAGGGUUAACUCGACUGUUUUUUUACUACCGUUGCCCUUUGGAGGUGAAGUUGUUUCUGCCUUGAGUCAGACGAUGU